rnacentral:rRNA from 1 species
UUAUUUGAGAGUUUGAUCCUGGCUCAGGACGAACGCUGGCGGCGUGCCUAAUACAUGCAAGUUGAGCGCUGAAGGUUGGUACUUGUACCGACUGGAUGAGCAGCGAACGGGUGAGUAACGCGUGGGGAAUCUGCCUUUGAGCGGGGGACAA